rnacentral:rRNA from 1 species
CCUACGGGGGGCAGCAGUGAGGAAUAUUGGUCAAUGGCCGGAAGGCUGAACCAGCCAUGCCGCGUGAAGGUCAGUGCCCUAUGGGCGUUAAACUUCUUUUGUGCGGGAGCAAUAAUGGUCACGUGUGGCCAGACGAGAGUACCGUACGAAUAAGCAUCGGCUAACUCCGUGCCAGCAGCCGCGGUAAUACGGGGGAUGCAAGCGUUAACCGGAUUUAUUGGGUUUAAAGGGUGCGUAGGCUGGGAGGUAAGUCAGCGGUGAAAUGCCCCGGCUCGAGGGGGUGAAGUGCCAUUGAUACUGCCUAGCUGGAGUGCGGAAGAGGUGGGAGGAAUGUGUGGUGUAGCGGUGAAAUGCAUAGAUAUCA